rnacentral:rRNA from 1 species
UACGAAGGGGGCUAGCGUUGCUCGGAAUCACUGGGCGUAAAGGGUGCGUAGGCGGGUCUUUAAGUCAGGGGUGAAAUCCUGGAGCUCAACUCCAGAACUGCCUUUGAUACUGAAGAUCUUGAGUUCGGGAGAGGUGAGUGGAACUGCGAGUGUAGAGGUGAAAUGCGUAGAUAUCGAGAGGAACACCUGCGGCGAAGGCGGGUUGCUGGGCUGACACUGACGCUGAUGCGCGAAAGCCAGGGGAGCGAACGGG